GAUGAAGAACGUAGUGAAAUGCGAUAAGUAAUGUGAAUUGCAGAAUUCAGUGAAUCAUCGAAUCUUUGAACGCACCUUGCGCCCUUUGGCCAUUCCGAAGGGCAUGCCUGUUUGAGUAUCAUGAACACCUCAACUCUUUAUGGUUUUCCAUGAUGAGCUUGGACUCUGGGGGUUUUGCUGGCUCACAGUCGGCUCCUCUAAAAUGAAUCAGCUUACCAGUGUUUGGUGGGUAUCAUGGGUGUGAUAACUAUCUACGCUUGUGGUUUUUCCACCAGGUAACCUUCAGCAGUGGAGGUUCGCUGGAGCUCAUAGAUGUCUCUCCUCAGUGAGGACAGCCCUUUGAAUGUUUGAUCGCAAAUCAGGUAGGACUACCCGCUGAACUUAAGCAUAUCAAUAAGCGGAGGA
rnacentral:misc_RNA from 1 species